UCUAAUAGUUUUUUUUUUCUCUCUCUCUCUCUCAGAUACGCAGGUGUAAAGCAGCCCAUCUGUUGUAUCAGAGGGACAGGAAGUGACAUUAAUCUGUUCAACUAAAUGCACUCUAAAUGACAAACAUACUUACAUCUGGUACAAGAACGGACGACAGGUAACAGAUGGAUUCACUAAAGACAACAAGCUGUACCUGGACUCAGUCAGUGAUGAAGAGCUUCACCAGUAUUCCUGUGCUGUAGAAGAUCCAGUGGACAGCACAGCGUUCAGUCAUUAUACAGUCACUCUGCUGGUGUUUUUUACCUCAGUUUCUCAUAAUAGCGGCUCUGUGGAUGUGGUUUUUCAUCAGAAUGCAUCUCAAUUUAAAACUAAACUGAAAACAAAAGUGAAGAUUCUGAUGUCUUCAUCUACAUCUGCUGUCUGUCCAUCAGAGUGAUGUCACUGUGUUCUUCCAUUGUGACAUCAUCACCUAGCAACAGUCAGGACUGUCAGCAGCAACAUCAGAGAUACAGUGAUGUCAUAGACAGUGACAUAUCAUUUAUUGUCUAGUCUGCAUAAUCAAACAAAUCCAAAA